GAUGAACGCUGGCGGCGUGCCUAAUACAUGCAAGUCGAGCGAACAGACGAGGAGCUUGCUCCUCUGACGUUAGCGGCGGACGGGUGAGUAACACGUGGAUAACCUACCUAUAAGACUGGGAUAACUUCGGGAAACCGGAGCUAAUACCGGAUAAUAUAUUGAACCGCAUGGUUCAAUAGUGAAAGACGGUUUUGCUGUCACUUAUAGAUGGAUCCGCGCCGCAUUAGCUAGUUGGUAAGGUAACGGCUUACCAAGGCAACGAUGCGUAGCCGACCUGAGAGGGUGAACCGGCCAAACGGAAACGAGACCAGGUCCCGAACCCUAACGGGGGGCGGCAUAGGGAAAUUUUCCGCAAGGGGGGAAGCCCGGACGGGGCAACGCGGGUGGGGGAAGAAGGUUCUCCGAAUGUAAAACCUUGGUAAUUGGGAAAAAACAAAGUGUUAAGUAACUAGGCACGUCUGAACGUAACCAAAUCAGAAGGCCACGGUAAACUACUG
rnacentral:rRNA from 1 species